rnacentral:rRNA from 1 species
GUGGGGAAUAUUGGACAAUGGGCGCAAGCCUGAUCCAGCCAUGCCGCGUGAGUGAUGAAGGCCUUAGGGUUGUAAAGCUCUUUCAGUGGGGACGAUAAUGACGGUACCCACAGAAGAAGCCCCGGCUAACUUCGUGCCAGCAGCCGCGGUAAUACGAAGGGGGCUAGCGUUGUUCGGAUUUACUGGGCGUAAAGCGCACGUAGGCGGAUCGUUAAGUCGGGGGUGAAAUCCUGGAGCUCAACUCCAGAACUGCCUUCGAUACUGGCGAUCUUGAGUCCGAAAGAGGUGAGUGGAACUCCUAGUGUAGAGGUGGAAUUCGUAGAUAUUAGGAAGAACACCAGUGGCGAAGGCGGCUCACUGGUCCGGUACUGACGCUGAGGUGCGAAAGCGUGGGGAGCAAACAGGAUUAGAAACCCCGGUAGUCC